UGAGGAAUACAUCGGAAUCUACUCUGUCGUGGGGGGAGUAACGUAGGGAAACUUACGCUAAUACCGCAUACGACCUACGGGUGAAGCAGGGAUCUUCGGACCUUGCGCGAUUGAAUGAGCCGAUGUCGGAUUAGCUAGUUGGCGGGGUAAAGGCCCACCAAGGCGACGAUCCGUAGCUGGUCUGAGAGGAUGAUCAGCCACACUGGAACUGAGACACGGUCCAGACUCCUACGGGAGGCAGCAGCG
rnacentral:rRNA from 1 species